CUACGGAGGGUGCAAGCGUUGUUCGGAUUCAUUGGGCGUAAAGCGAGUGUAGGCGGUUUGACAAGUCGAAUGUGAAAUCCCGAGGCCCAACCUCGGAACUGCAUCCGAAACUGUCAGGCUAGAGUCCCGGAGAGGAUGGCGGAAUUCCCGGUGUAGGGGUGAAAUCCGUAGAUAUCGGGAGGAACACCAGUGGCGAAGGCGGCCAUCUGGACGGUGACUGACGCUGAGACUCGAAAGUGUGGGUAGCAAACAGGAUUAGAAACCCUAGUAGUCC
rnacentral:rRNA from 1 species